AAGGCCCUGCUUGCAGGGUGCUCGAGUGGCGAACGGGUGAGUAACACGUGGGUGAUCUGCCCCUGACUUUGGGAUAAGCCUGGGAAACUGGGUCUAAUACCGGAUAUGACCAAGGAUUGCAUGGUUCUUGGUGGAAAGCUUUUGCGGUUGGGGAUGGGCCCGCGGCCUAUCAGCUUGUUGGUGGGGUAAUGGCCUACCAAGGCGACGACGGGUAGCCGACCUGAGAGGGUGAUCGGCCACACUGGGACUGAGACACGGCCCAGACUCCUACGGGAGGCAGCAGUGGGGAAUAUUGCACAAUGGGCGCAAGCCUGAUGCAGCGACGCCGCGUGAGGGAUGACGGCCUUCGGGUUGUAAACCUCUUUCAGCAGGGACGAAGCGCGAGUGACGGUACCUGCAGAAGAAGCACCGGCCAACUACGUGCCAGCAGCCGCGGUAAUACGUAGGGUGCGAGCGUUGUCCGGAAUUACUGGGCGUAAAGAGCUCGUAGGCGGUUUGUCGCGUCGUCUGUGAAAUUCUGCAGCUUAACUGCAGGCGUGCAGGCGAUACGGGC
rnacentral:rRNA from 1 species